rnacentral:lncRNA from 1 species
AAAACACCAUCAAACAAAAUACCAAGAAAAUGCUCACCCUCAUAGAAGGACGAGAUGACGUUCCUAGAUUUGUCCACCUUUUCCUAAUAAUUUUAAAAGCAUCAUUCAUUCCUUCAUUCACUCAUUUAUACACAAAACUUAUUGAAAAUUGGCAAAAAAUGAUACAUGCUCCCUCAUUUCCUCCUCGUCUUGGAUACAUAGCUAAGUAUCUCUCAGAUCCUCUUGUGUUUAGAUGUGACCAUAUGACUUGAGUUCUGGUGAUUGGCAUGUGGGCAGAAGUGAUGUAGUCCACUCCCAUAUAUGAUCCCAUUUUUCUUUCUCAACCCAAGGACCAAAUCUGCAGACACAGAAGAAACAGGAGUCUCAAAUUUCAAGGCAAAUGACCACAUGGAAGGUCAUACAGAUAGGAAUGCUAACUACAAUCUAAGACCUGAAUGAGAAAUAAACUUUUAUUAUGUUAAGAAAGAGAUGUCAGGGUUUUUAGUUGGUGUAGCAACUACGUAUUGCCUUUCCUAAUACAAGAAACUUUUCUCCAUCUGUGGAGAAAUUUUGAGGUCUAGGGAAAGAGAAAUAUGAGAGUUAUUAUUUAUUCAUUCAAAACACAAUUUAAUAUGUAUAAUUUGAGAGAUGUUGAAGGACUGAAAAUUUUUCCACGGUCCUCUGAUGACCUUAGCCUCAACUGUCCUCACUCUCCCCUCUUGCUAAACUCGUUACCCAACUAAUGAUAUUAAACCGAAAGAAUAAUUUCUCUCUCCCUCAGGAACCGUUUCUGACCACAUGUUCUGGAAAUUAUUGGAAUGUUAGCUAACCCCUUUUGUUAACAAUCUAUGAAAACUAUGUUUUUCUACUCCCAAAGAGAACACUUCUUGGAGUAUUUCUGAUGUUCCAGCAUUCUGAAUAAGAGCUUAUGCUUAAGGGUGUUGUAAAUGACUUCCUUCUACACAGUGUUGUGAUCAUUGUGCUAUGUUAGAGGUAAAAUAAAUAAGAGAGAGUCACUGUCCUCAAGAUGUUUAUAAUCUACUGGGUACACAGACUGUUCAGUGUAAUUACUCCUACAAUCCAGUUAUGCAUAAAUUAUCAUAGGAUCAUAAAUAAGUGAGCAAUUAAUUCCCUGGAGCUACCAAUUAAAGCUAUAGGAGACAAAUAGUUCUGGUGAGGGAAAGGUCUUUCGCAAAGAAGAAACCGCAUGUACAAUAGCAAGCAGCCACCAGAAAUGGAAGUGUCUCUGAGACAACUGAAAAUUAGUGAAUGGAAAACAAACUUAUUUCUCCAGUCUCAAUAUGACUCAGUAAACAUCACCUAGAACUGUACGAGCCAGGAAUCAAGGAGUCAUCUUUAGCCCUAUUUUAUCCUUCACUGCCCUCUACAACAAGCCAUGCCCUAUAAAUACAUCUCGAAUCUAUCUACCUCUCUACAUAUUCCCUGCCACCAUCAUAGUCCAAGCUACUAUCAUCUCUCAUCAAAGUAAUUUUAAGAAACUUACUGCUGAUCUAACUUAACAUCUUUCUCCCCGUUCUCCCUGCGUCCCAAUUAGCUAUCCAUACAGGAGAGAGAAGGAUUUUUUUUUUAAAUGCCAAUCAAAUGGUAUGGCUGUGUUCCUACCCAAAUCUCAUCUUGAAUUGUAGCUCCCAUAAUUCCCACAUGUUGUGGGAGGGACCCAGUGGGAGAUAAUUGAAUCAUGGGGACAGUUUCCAUCAUACUGUUCUUGUGGCAGUGAACGAGUCUCACAAGAUCUGAUGGUUUUAUAAGGGGAAACCCCUUUUGCUUGGUUCUCAUUCUCUCUCUUUGCCUGCUGCUGUCCAUGUAAGAUGUGACUUGCUCCUCCUUGCCUUCUGCCAUGACUGUGAGGCCUCCCCAGCCAUGUGGAACUGUAAGUCCAUUAAACCUAUUUUUCUUUAUAAAUCACCCUGUCUCAGGUAUGUCGUUAUCAGCAGCAUGCAAAUGGACUAAUACAGCCAAUAUGGGCAUGAAAAGUCUCUCCUUGGAACUUUCUAACAGUUUUCUAUUGUGUUUAGCUUAAAGAAUACAGUUCUUAAAAUGAGUUACAAGGCUCUACAGGACAUGAUUUUUUCCAACUGCCAAGCAUCAACUCAUACAUGAUCCACAACACACCCCACUCCUGCUUCCUUUGCUUUCUAAGUUCUAACAAUAUUGGAUUUGUUUCAUGUCUUUGAGAAGGCCAGGCUAUCUCCUACCCCUUCACAUACGCUGUUCCCUCACUUUGAGCAGUCUCUCUCAGCCCACCAUCACCACCACACUCCUUAUUUAACUAAUUUCUACAUGUCUUGCACCAAAGUAGAGGGUGGGUGCUAGGGGAGCAAUCUUUCCCAGGUAUAGGCAAUAAGGGGUGCUUUGCUUAUAAAGAAUUUUAAAAUAGCAAGAAAAUGUUUUAAAAGUUGUUCUUUUUUUAUUAUUAAAACUGUGUUCUGACAAUUAUAUACAACUUAAUAAUAAACUUCUUCUCCUAACCAGGGAGACAACUUCCACCAACUCAUACUAUAUGUUUUUGAGAAAUGCAGUAAUAUAGACAAAGAAAUCGAUCAAUUCUUUAAAAAUUAGAGAGAGAAAAAGUAGACAAGUACAAGAAUAACAAAGAAAAUACACAAUCAUCACAUAUAAAGAAGAGAUAAAAUUAUGAGUGAAUACUUCAUCCCAGCAGGUUCUAGUGCCUGGAGAAGGUGAGCAAGGCCUUGGGCGCUGAUGGGUACUGGAAGAAGAAAGAUGGUAUGAACAACAGGCAAGAUAAGAGCAGAAGAGAACUGAACUGAGAAUCAAAACCAACAGUUGACUGUAAAGAGAGCCUGGCCUGAAGAGGACUGCACCUAGUAAUGGAAAUGUUUGUUCCUCAAAGGGCAAGCUAGUUUCCAGAAGAACUUAGGAGAAGUCAAAUAGACGAGUUGAGUUCUUUCUUUAUUAUUGUAGCUGAAAGUAUACCACCUUUUGAGAAGACUAGGGAAAAAACAGGAAACAAAUAAAUUGCUUACCAGUGAACCACUAACCCAUGAAGGUAGCAACCCCUGUGCCUCUGAAGUAUCAGUGAAGCUUAAAGCCUUCCAGUUACUUGACACUGAAAAGUGGCACUGUAUGCAGACAGACAAAACAAACUGAUGCUUAAGUAAACCAAAUUGUUGGAGGACGAAAGUAUCAUCUUAGUUCCCCCUCCUCCCCACUACACACACUCCUCUCAAAAAUAAUUUUUGGAAAUGAAAGUUCAAGUCACAAAAAAUUUUUGGAAAAACAAAACGUAUAACAAUUUCUAUUCAACAUUGUACUAUCAGAUAUAACCAGUGAACUAAGGUAAGAAAAGUAAUUGCAAGAUGUAAAGAAUGAAAAAAAAAAAAAAGAAAAAAUAACCUAACAUGCAGAUAACAUGGUUGUGUUUUUAGAAAUUCCACAAGAGUCUACAGAACUUUUUUUUAAUGUAUAGGUAAAUUUAGCAAGAUGCUGGACACAAAAUCAUUUAAAAAGUCAUUGUGUUUCUAUGUGCCAUCAUCACAUCUAUGUGCCAUUAUCAAACUUUGCAAAAUAAUUUUUAAUAAUACUACUUACAUCAGCAUCAAAAAUCAAAUACGCCCAUAGACUGUACAACAUUGAGAUUGAAUCCUAAUGUGAGCUAUGGACUUUGAGUGAUAAUGAUGUGUCCAUGUAGAUUCACUGAUUGUAACAAAUGUACUACUCUGGUGAGAUAUAUUAAUAGUGGGGGAGAUUGUAGAAGUAUGGGGGUAAGGAUUGUAUGAUAAUUCAAUGUUCUUUCUGCUCAACUUUAUUGAACUGAAAACUGCUCUAAAAACAAAUUAUAUUUUAAAAAAUCAAAUAUGUAGAAUAGUGUCCGUCCAAUUGAAUGUCCAUGAAAAGGUAAUACUUAAUCCUUCCCUACUUGUCAGAUAUACAAAAAUUAAUUUUAAGUGAAAUGUACUUAUGAAAGGACAAACAAUAACUUUUCUAGAAUAAAAGUAAAAGAAUUUUUUAAAUAGGGCUGGAAAAGACUUUUUAAAUGGGGGGAGCACAAACAAUGAAAAAAAUGUGUCACAUCAAUGACAAAAGGCUUGUAUCUAAAAUGUAUAAAAAACUUUUACAAAUCAGUAAAAAGUAAGACAAUUCAGAAAUACAACAUACAAUACGUAAUAAACAGAAAAUUAGUCUUCAGGGCAAGGCAAACUAAAUGAGAUACAACUGCACAAAUGCUGGUGUGAGUAAAAUUGGAAAGACUGACAAUACCAUGUAUUGGCAAAGUUAUACAGCAAGAGGAGCUCUCACACUCUGCUGGUAAGGUGUAUUUUGGUACAAACAUAUUGGAAAACUAUUUGGCUGUAUGUGCUAAAGUUUAACAUGGGCAUGUCCUCUGAUGCUGAUAUUUCACUACUAAAUAUAUACCCAAAAGAAAUUCAUACAUAUAUGCAUCAAGAGAUAUGACAUGUAUAACAUAUGUAUGUUCAUUAAAAUAUUAUUUUUAAGAGCCCCAAACUGGAAACAACUCAAAUAUCCAACGAUAGUAGAAUGAAUAAAUUUUAGUGAAUUUGUCCAAUGGAAUCCUAGACAGCAAUAAAGGUAAACUAACAGAAAAAUUGUAUAACAAAAUUUUAAAAGAAGUUAAAAACAAUAAAGUAUGUUUUAUAAUAUUAUAUGAAUAUACUUAAAAUAUUAUCUAGUUACAUACAGAUAUUUUAUACUGUAUACAAUAUUUUCUGUUCUUGUACAAGAUUACUGUCUGUUUAACAAUUACAAUUGCAUCCAUUUCAAAGACAGGCAGGAGUAAUUCAUCAUUUGAGAAGCCAGAAUAAUGAUUUCAUUUCAAGAUAAGGAGGGAGUUAUUGAGUGAGAAAGAGCAAUAGAUGGGCUUCUGGGAUUCGGAUAAUGUUUUAUUUCUUGAAUUGGGUGAUAGGAAAUGGGUGCAUUCAUGUGUGAUUAUUAAACAAGCCACACAUAUUUUAUUUGUGCAACAUUCUGUACUGUGUUAUGUUUAAUGAGUGCAAUCAUACUUCAAUAUUUCAAAAUUUGGAGUAUUUCACAGGGAUAAUUAGACGAAAUACAAGCAUGUAAGAGAAUUGAAUAAUAAAAAAAUUAUAUAAUGCACAAAUACAUAUUUUAAAAAAUUGAUCAUAGACUGUUCAUAACAUUUUAAUAUUACUAUAUUUUUAAAUAUUUACAUGUGUAUAUUUUAUAUUCAUGUAAAUGUUUUAUGUUUGUGUGUAUAUGUUAUAUAUAGAUAACAUACAAAUAUAUAUACAUAUACAUAUAUAUAUACACAUACAUAUAUAUAUAUAUAUACACAUACACGUAGACAGCAAGAGAGACAGAAAGAUAGAGCGAGGAAGAAAUGUAAAAAAUCACUAAAAUGUGUGGGGCGUAACCAAAGUCAUAUUCAAGCAAAAAUGUAUAGACUAAAAAGCACUUGUUAUUAAGAAGAAAAUCUAAAUUUAAGCAACUCAAUAUUUAUUUUGAUAAAUUAAAAGCAAAAUAAAAGGAUAAAUAAGAAAGCUAAAAUUAAUAAAACAUAAUGCAUGAUAAUUAUUUUUAAAUUGGAGAAAAUCAUAUUAAAGAUCAUAUGGAAAAUAAAUGCUAAAGCUGUUUAAUAAAGGAAUUAUUAAACAGCAGUAAUAAGAGAUGAAUAGCCUGACCUGUAUCAAAAUGAUUAUAAUGCCUUAUCAGAUAUUAAAAUAAAUAUAAUCAAAACUAUCUGGUAUUUGCAUUAGAUUAUGCAAAUAAAUGAGUGAAACAAAAUAGAGAUCUCAAAACAUAUCGUUUACAUGCACAUAGAGUGUCGUAAUUCAGGGAGAAAUAAGAUAGGUUAUUUAAUUAGUGGUGUUCGCACAACUGGCUUUUUCCCUUGGCACCACAAAUCACAGGAUUGAAAAAGUAAAAAAAUAAAAAAUAAAAAUAAGCCCAGAUGGAUUAAAUACUUAACUAUGAAAAGAAUAAAAAAUAUUAAGUGCCAAUUUAAGAUUGUAUUUCAAAUCUAGUGUUUGAAAAAACUUUCAUAACCACAAUAGGAAAUGGAUAUCUUACAGCUUGAUACCAAAAAAAUUGAAAAGAAAAAAAGAGAAUAAAAUAUAUGAUUAGACUGGAAUUUCUCAAGAUCAACACUAUUGACAUCUGGUCCAACUGUGGACCAGAUAUAUCUUUGUUAAUGGAGCCCAUCUUCAGCAUUGUAGGUUUAUUAGCAGCAUCCUUGUUCUCUACCAACUAGAUGCCAGAAGCACUGCCUCUCCACUCUCUUCAGUGAUAACAAUUAAAAAUGUCUCUAAAUAUUGCCAAAUGUGUACCAUUGUCAUAAAUGUAUGUCAUAGAAUAUUAUCCAAUACCAGAAAAAUGCAUUCGCUUCUAUAAUCAUUUUCAUCUUGCUCAGAUGGAUUAUCAUUGUACAAAAGUACUAUGUACUCUAACAUGAGAUAAUAUGAAGAAAAUGUACAUAAUAAAAUUAUAUUUUUGUAUCAGAAAAGAAA